rnacentral:rRNA from 1 species
UGGGGAAUUUUGGACAAUGGGGGAAACCCUAAUCCAGCCAUCCCGCGUGUGCGAUGAAGGCCUUCGGGUUGUAAAGCACUUUUGGCAGGAAAGAAACGUCGCGGGUUAAUACCCCGCGAAACUGACGGUACCUGCAGAAUAAGCACCGGCUAACUACGUGCCAGCAGCCGCGGUAAUACGUAGGGUGCAAGCGUUAAUCGGAAUUACUGGGGCGUAAAGCGUGCGCAGGCGGUUCGGAAAGAAAGAUGUGAAAUCCCAGAGCUUAACUUUGGAACUGCAUUUUUAACUACCGGGCUAGAGUGUGUCAGAGGGAGAUGGAAUUCCGCGUGUAGCAGUGAAAUGCGUAGAUAUGCGGAGGAACACCGAUGGCGAAGGCAGCCUCCUGGGAUAACACUGACGCUCAUGCACGAAAGCGUGGGGAGCAAACAGGAUUAGAUACCCUGGUAGUCCACGCCCUAAACGAUGUCAACUAGCUGUUGGGGCCUU